rnacentral:rRNA from 1 species
ACGGAAGGCAGCAGUGGGGGAUAUUGCACAAUGGAGGAAACUCUGAUGCAGCAACGCCGCGUGAGGGAAGAAGGUUUUCGGGUUGUAAACCUCUGUUUUUAGUGAAGAAACAAAUGACGGUAGCUAAAGAGGAAGCCACGGCUAACUACGUGCCAGCAGCCGCGGUAAUACGUAGGUUGCAAGCGUUGUCCGGAUUUACUGGGUGUAAAGGGUGCGCAGGCGGGACUGCAAGUUGGAUGUGAAAUACCGAGGCUUAACCUCGGAGCUGCAUACAAAACUGUGGUGCUUGAGUGGAGGAGAGGUAAGCGGAAUUCCGAGUGUAGCGGUGAAAUGCGUAGAUAUUAGGAGGAACACCAGUGGCGAAGGCGGCUUACUGGGCGAUAACUGACGCUGAGGCACGAAAGUGUGGGGAGCAAACAGGAUUAGAUACCCUGGUA